rnacentral:misc_RNA from 1 species
UCCCACACAUUGAACUUGAUAGG